rnacentral:piRNA from 1 species
UGAAUUUUUAGAUAAAAAUUUCCUGAAAGA